rnacentral:rRNA from 1 species
GACGAACGCUGGCGGCGUGCUUAACACAUGCAAGUCGAGCGGUAAGGCUCCUUCGGGAGUACACGAGCGGCGAACGGGUGAGUAACACGUGAGCAAUCUGCCCUUCACUCUGGGAUAACCCCCGGAAACGGGAGCUAAUACCGGAUACGACCACUUCAGGCAUCUGAUGGUGGUGGAAAGUUCCGGCGGUGAAGGAUGAGCUCGCGGCCUAUCAGCUUGUUGGUGAGGUAAUGGCUCACCAAGGCUUCGACGGGUAGCCGGCCUGAGAGGGUGACCGGCCACACUGGGACUGAGACACGGCCCAGACUCCUACGGGAGGCAGCAGUGGGGAAUAUUGGACAAUGGGCGAAAGCCUGAUCCAGCAACGCCGCGUGGGGGAUGACGGCCUUCGGGUUGUAAACCUCUUUCAGCAGGGACGAAGCGAAAGUGACGGUACCUGCAGAAGAAGGACCGGCCAACUACGUGCCAGCAGCCGCGGUAAUAC